UCCUGUUCAUCAACCAUAAAUUCAAUAUUCAUAUCAUCAUUGUCGCUGUACAUAACAUCAUCAGCAUCAUCUUCACUGACUACACUAUCGGCACUUCCAGAUUGAUCAUCCUCAAACUCCAUUUCUUCAUAAACACCAUCAUCUUCACUGUCCUCGUAGUUCUCGUCAUUCUCAUUAACUAUAUCGCCUUGAAAUAUUCCCAAAAC